rnacentral:rRNA from 1 species
UAGUAACGGCGAGUGAAGCGGGAAGAGCUCAAGCUUAAAAUCUCUGUGCAGGUUCUGCAUGGCGAAUUGUAGUCUAUGGAUGCGUUAUCAGUGUGGCCGGUCGGGGUAAGUUCCUUGGAAGAGGACAGCAAUGAGGGUGAUACUCCCGUUUGUACCUGAUUGUGUUGCGCGUACGAUGCGUGUUCUUUGAGUCGCGUUGUUUGGGAAUGCAGCGCAAAGUAGGUGGUAAAUUCCAUCUAAAGCUAAAUAUUGGUGCGAGACCGAUAGCGAACAAGUACCGUGAGGGAAAGAUGAAAAGAACUUUGAAAAGAGAGUUAAAGAGUACCUGAAACUGCUGAAAGGGAACCGGGUCGUUGCCAGUGUCUAUAAUCCUUGGCAUAUUUCAUUGCCGAGCCUGUUUGUUUCGCGCGUGUGUAGCAGUUAGUUCUGCGCUGCGCGUGGAUGUGAGCGGGCGUGGCGGUGCCCUGUGCUUUGGUGGGACGUCAGAGUCAGUUCGUAUGCUGCGGGAAAUGGCCGUGCAGGAGGUAGGUCGGGGGUUCGCCCUCGGCUGUUAUAUCUGUGCGCGCUAGUGGUCGUGGUUGGGACUGAGGUGCCUACAACGUGCUUUUGAGUCUUUGGGUCGCUCUGUGCGCGCGUCGGCGGGAUAGCUUGCUAUGCCGUUGGCGUUUGUGUGUGGAUGGUGUGCUCAUUGCAACUUGGUGCCGUUC